rnacentral:rRNA from 1 species
GACGAACGCUGGCGGCGUGCUUAACACAUGCGAGUCGAACGGAAAGGCCCUGCUUUUGUGGGGUGCUCGAGUGGCGAACGGGUGAGUAACACGUGAGUAACCUGCCCUUGACUUUGGGAUAACUUCAGGAAACUGGGGCUAAUACCGGAUAGGAGCUCCUGCUGCAUGGUGGGGGUUGGAAAGUUUCGGCGGUUGGGGAUGGACUCGCGGCUUAUCAGCUUGUUGGUGGGGUAGUGGCUUACCAAGGCUUUGACGGGUAGCCGGCCUGAGAGGGUGACCGGCCACAUUGGGACUGAGAUACGGCCCAGACUCCUACGGGAGGCAGCAGUGGGGAAUAUUGCACAAUGGGCGGAAGCCUGAUGCAGCAACGCCGCGUGCGGGAUGACGGCCUUCGGGUUGUAAACCGCUUUCGCCUGUGACGAAGCGUGAGUGACGGUAAUGGGUAAAGAAGCACCGGCUAACUAUGUG